AUGGUCGUGUAUACCGUCUUUAAUUUAGAUAUCACAAAGACAUCAUAAGCCACAUAGUCUAAAGUCUUGGCGAAUAUGGUUUGGUAAGUAAACAAAUGUUAUGAAAAUCCAUCAUUUUCUCCCUCAACAUUUAUAUGGGGCCAGUUCAAGCUUUUCAAGCAGCUGUUACCGUCCUUGGUUCGUUGUUCUCCAUAGAAUGAACGGUGCACCGAGAAGCAUAGUGGGUGUCAGCAAGCAUUAAAGAACUUUCAGAUGAAACAUCUCGAGAUGCUCUGUUACAUGAAACGAGGAUUUCUAGGGUGGCCAAUUUAGUAUUCGUUUGAGGCGAAACCAGACUAGAACCAAUCUUGUUUAGGGUUUUGAUUUUGCCUAGGGAGCCACAGACUAGAGAAAGGCAUAUAUCAAGUAUGAAGUAUCUUUUGAACAGGAGAAGGGAGAGCAAACAGAGAGUCAACGAAGACACUGAACAAUCUUCUUCAUACCAAAUAAUUGAUACGCCUACGAUCCGGCCUACUACAGGAAAGAAAGAAAACAAGAUGCAAGAUCAAAUGCAGCAAAGAAAUAGGGCAAACAAUUAUAAAAAGGAAACCAAAUAAACCAGUUGCUGGAAAAAUCCCAAACCACAACAAAAUAGAAGAUCAAGAAGUCAAGAAGCAAGAAGAGGUGGUCCAGAUCCGAUCCGGGGAUGCACCAUGAACACGAGAAAAGAAGAGAGGAAGACAAAGGACGGGCAAGAAGAAGAAGGAAAGAAAUCUUUGCCACAAAGGCUCGGAGCUGCGCGCGCGGUGCGGGAGAAAUCCGGGAGGCGGAGACGUCGCAAAGCCGACGACGGAUUCGACCGAGGAACCAACAGAACGGGUUCUAAAGAGCACCGCGCCAGAGCCGACUUAGGUUACCCUCAGCACCGACCGGCGGACGUGACGCGGGCCUUUGAAUCAUUUUUUGGGCGGUUCAAAGCGUGGCUCG
rnacentral:lncRNA from 1 species